rnacentral:misc_RNA from 1 species
CAACCCUGAAGCCCUCGUUGCUUCGCGUUGGGGAUCUACAGGACCUACCCUGUAGGCCCCGAAAAGGAGUGGCAGAGUUCGGGCAUACUCUCAGCGUAGUAAAUCUUCCUCGCUUUUGCAGUAUCCUGUUCCCUCGCCGUAAAACCCCCCUAUUCUUCUAA